UAAGGAAUAUUGGACAAUGGUCGCAAGACUGAUCCAGCCAUGCCGCGUGCAGGAAGACGGCCCUAUGGGUUGUAAACUGCUUUUGUACCAGAGAAAACCUAUCUACGUGUAGAUAGCUGAUAGUAUGGUAAGAAUAAGCAUCGGCUAACUUCGUGCCAGCAGCUGCGGUAAGACGAAGGAUGCAAGCGUUAUCCGGAUUCAUUGGGUUUAAAGGGUGCGUAGGCGGGCUUGUAAGUCAGUGGUGAAAUCUCUCAGCUUAACUGAGAAACUGCCAUUGAUACUGCAGGCCUAGAGUAUAGAUGACGUUGGCGGAAUAUUACAUGUAGUGGUGAAAUACUUAGAUAUGUCAUAGAACACCGAUUGCGAAGGCAGCUAACGAAACGAUAACUGACGCUGAGGCACGAAAGUGCGGGGAUCAAAC
rnacentral:rRNA from 1 species